GAUGAAGAACGCAGCGAAAUGCGAUAAGUAAUGUGAAUUGCAGAAUUCAGUGAAUCAUCGAAUCUUUGAACGCACAUUGCGCCCGCCAGUAUUCUGGCGGGCAUGCCUGUUCGAGCGUCAUUACAACCCUCAGGCCCCCGGGCCUGGCGUUGGGGAUCGGCGGAAGCCCCCUGCGGGCACAACGCCGUCCCCCAAAUACAGUGGCGGUCCCGCCGCAGCUUCCAUUGCGUAGUAGCUAACACCUCGCAACUGGAGAGCGGCGCGGCCACGCCGUAAAACACGCAACUUCUGAAUGUUGACCUCGAAUCAGGUAGGAAUACCCGCUGAACUUAAGCAUAUCAAUAAGCGGAGGA
rnacentral:misc_RNA from 1 species